rnacentral:rRNA from 1 species
CGCAUCUGUGCAUGCAGCAUAUCAAUAAGCGGAGGAAAAGAAACUAACAAGGAUUCCCUUAGUAACGGCGAGUGAAGCGGGAAGAGCUCAAAUUUGAAAUCUUCAAGGUUUUACCUUGACGAAUUGUAGUUUAAAGAAGUGUUUUCUGUUGAAGUUUUGGUAAAAGUUCUUUGGAAUAGGACAUCAUAGAGGGUGAGAAUCCCGUAUUUGACCAUUAUUUUCAGCUGUGUGAUACACUUUCAAAGAGUCGGAUUGUUUGGGAAUGCAGUCCAAAAUGGGCGGUAAAUUUCAUCUAAAGCUAAAUAUUGGCGAGAGACCGAUAGCGAACAAGUACCGUGAGGGAAAGAUGAAAAGAACUUUGAAAAGAGAGUUAAACAGUACGUGAAAUUGUCAAAAGGGAAGCGUUUGACACCAGUGUUGUUUUCUCGAAAAUCAAUUAAAAAGAGUUAGAUUUUGUUGUGUAUUGACCUUAACAGCUUGCAUUUCAAUUUUCUUGCUUUUUUUAAUGCACUUUUCGUUUAACAAGUCAACAUCAGUUUCUUUUGUUGUAAAAAGGUCAUUGGAAGGUGGCUUUCUUUUCGGAGAAAGUGUUUAUAGCCUUUGACUCCUGCAAUCGGAGAGACUGAGGUCUGCAGCGUAGAUCCUUCGGGGUUAGAUACAUUUGUGCUAAGUUAUAGCUUUUUAUAGACAACUUGUUGACUAUGAUUAGUCUUGUAGCUUACUCGCUUAUGCUAUUUUACCUACGCUUAGGAUGUUGACGCGCGUGUGUGCGUG